UUGGUUUCAAAUGUUUAUUAGUUUUUGAGGAUAUUAACAUGAUCAAAAUUGAACCGUUCCUCCUAACCUUAAUCCAUGUCAUUGGUUUGAUGCACUUAGUUAGACGAGCUUGAACAAGCACACUAGAUUUGCUUGAUUUUCUAUCCAUUGUCUAACAUCUCAUUCCUAUAUAAUGGCUGGCACCUCAUUCCUCACUUUUUCACCUAAUGAAAUUAAUGAAUGCCUAAGUUUUUGAGUUUGUUGAUUU
rnacentral:lncRNA from 1 species